GGCUUAUUAGCUCAGUUGGUUAGAGCGUCGUGCUAAUAACGCGAAGGUCGCGGGUUCGAUCCCCUCAUAAGCCA